rnacentral:antisense_RNA from 1 species
UGGUGAAGAAAUUAGUCACAGAUGUUUAUUGAAUUCACCAAACAAAAUGAGCCUCUAUCCCACACAUUCAAGGUAAUUACAAUUGUAUCCAGAAUGUGUCCCAAUGGCGCGACCAUAAAAACCAUAUAGCUGCGAACUCUCACGCGAGUGCAUAUUCAAAUGUCCCUUUAUCAAACUCUUCAACUUCAUCUUCCCAUGUAGAGGAAGGCAUGCUACUAUAUGGGUCUAGCAGGAUUUUGAAGCAUCGGAUAAUAAGAAGUCCCAAGAAGAUACACAAAAUCCCAACAAAAGCAAAGCCAGUUUUUUGCUCCAGAGUCAAUGAGAAAGCUGAUACUUCGUUGACACUCAUCUUAGCUGAAGAGUUGCCACAGUAGGUACUACUCAUUAUUCACUGGCACAUUGUUGUGGCUCUUCACAAUUCCUUCUGGAAUCAACUCUUUGCCUAGAUGUCUUCAUCAUGGUGAAAUGCAUAAAUUUCAGGGCUUUCCAGAGAUCCCAAACCUUAGGAUCUGCCAGAAUCCACCCCUAAACCCUCAGAUUUCAACCUUAAGAGAAUUUCUCUCUUAAGAUAAUCUUUGGAUGGCUCAAGGACUCUGACACUCAAUCCUUCCAACGCACUGGGAAACCUGGUCUGAAAAUUCUCCAAAUAUCUCAUUAAAGAAACCUAGACCAUCAUCAUCAUUCUGCGUUGUUUGU